rnacentral:lncRNA from 1 species
AGCCGCGCGCGGGGCCCGGCCCGCUGGGAGGCCUCCGACGCGAAAGGAGCACAGCCCCUCUGCCUGUUUGUGGCUCCCCCGGUUUCCCCUGUGAGCGUCUUGGCCUCUCCGCGAGAGCGGGUCUCACCACAGACCUCCUCCGCAAAGUCGCUGCCUGGUCAGGAGAGGCCAGGAGGUGUCACAGCGAAGGCCGUCUCCUCAGGGUAGCCGUCCAGAGUGCGCCUGUCAAGUGCGGGGAGAGAAGCGAGCGGAGGCCUAGAAAGAUGAAACUCACAGAGAUAGAAAGCAACUAGCCCAAAACUCAACAAGAGCAAAUGGAUUGGAUUCCAGGUUUGUGCACUCAAACCGGUGCUCUUUUCACCAUGCUGCAUUGUCUCCAGAAGGAGGACUGGUUUGAAAACUUUCAAAAUAAAACAUCAGAGGAAGAAUUUCUUGGAAGAAAACCAGCUAGCCAAGUCUGCAUGUCUUCAUUCCCACGAACAUUCCAUGAAGAACUGGCAGUGCAGCCUCUGAAAGACUUUUAUUUUCAAGAAAUAAAAGGCAAAGAAACCCAGAUGUGAAGAAUGUUCGUCAUUUUCUCAAGGUCACAUAGAUUGGAAAGGUAGAGUCUCCUAGAAACCCAGCUGAGCUGAAUCCAGCCCACCUCUCCACUACACAACACUGCCUCCUAGAGGGGUUGUGUUGGUUUAGCUUAUUCUCGACAAAACUCAACCUGAAAGCCUUGCAUAAAAAGAUGUUUAGUAAGUACCCGUGUCUUGUGGACCUCACAGGUAGGAAGGAUUCUGCUUUCAAGAUUUCAUCUCAAGGUGCUUUUGAGCAGUAAAUGAGCACAUUGUCUAUUGUCUCGCCAUCAUAGUUCAUGUAGUCUAAAAAGUUGGAAGUCUAAACCUCCUAACUGCUAGUUAAAGUCUAUUAUCUUUGUGUUUGCUUAACCCCUGCAGGACAUAUCAGGGGAGUUCAACAUGUCUGUUAUAAAUGUUGGGUAUCUAAUUGCCUUACCUUAUAGCUCAGCCAGAAGGCAGACACUAAAUAAAGAAAACCACCCGUCUCACAAUGACAUACUGUCUUUGUACAUCUUUCAAGCAGAGGAAAGAUAAUGGCCAUGUAUGAUUUUAGGCAAGACUGCUGAUUUGCAGUCUCUUCAGGAAAUUGUAGUGUUUCCGAGGACAAUAUUCCUAGUCAAAAUAGAUUAAGCCUGAGGCCAAAGUGAUGACCACAGUCAAAGUUAAUGAUACCGUGUGUUUGGUUGGGAACAACUGGAGGAAAACUAGGUUGUCAUAGCAGAUGGUCCACCCUAUAAUCUCCCUUUAUUCUCUGGUCCUUAUCACCAGUGGAAUGGAAGAAAAUAAAGUUUUCUCUCUGUGUCCUUUACAUUUGUAUAUAGGGCAGAAAAGCCCUUCACCGUGAUGAAAUGGAGUCUAGGGUAUGAGAUAUGUUUUAGUAGUAGACUUGCUCUUACCCCGUUUACAGUUUUUGAGGACUGCCAGGAAAUCCUACAAUUUUGUUCUAGAUACAGAAGACUCUCUUUCUCAUAGCCACAGACACAGCAUCUUGAUGAGUAAACAGGAGAGAAAGGCUUCUCUCCUAAAGAUGAGGGACUUUCAGGAUUAGUAGACCACGAGCAAUUCCACUUUUGGGUAUAAACCCACAAGAAUUGUAAGCAGGAACUUGAAGAGUUAUUUAAACAACCAUGUUCGUAGCAGCAUUAUUCACAAUAGCCGAAAUGGGGAAACAACGCAAAUGUCCAUUGACUGAUGAAUGGAUAAACAAAAUAAAGUAAAUACAUGCAAUGGAAUAUUGUUCAGCCUUUAACGGGAAGGAAGUUCUGACCCAUGAUAAAAUAUUGGUGAGUCUUGAGGACACUGUGUUAAGUGAAAUAAGCUAGUCGCAAGGCAAAUACUGUAUGAUUCCACUCAUAUGAAGGGUGGAAUUUCUCAAGGUCACAUAGAUUUGAAAGGUAGAGUCUCCUUGAAACUUAGCGUAGUCAAGUUCAUGGAGGAAGUGGAAUGCGGGUUGCCAGGGCCUGGAGGUAGGGGAGGAGAAAGGGAGUUAGUGCUGAAUGAGUCUGGGGUUUCAGUUGGGGAGUUGAAAAAAUUCUGGAGAUGAAUGGUGGUGAUGAGAGCGCAAAAGUGUGACAUGUCUUAGGGUAUCUUGGUGUAUAAAAGUGUGACUUAAUGUCACUGAACUGAACACUUAAAAUGGUUAAGUGGGAGUUCCCGUCGUGGCGCAGUGGUUAACGAAUCCGACUAGGAACCAUGAGGUUGCGAGUUCGAUCCCUGCCCUUGCUCAGUGGGUUAAGGAUCCGGUGUUGCCGUGAGCUGUGGUGUAGGUUGCAGACGCGGCUCGGAUCCUGCGUUGCUGUGGCUCUGGUGUAGGCUGGUGGCUACAGCUCCGAUUGGACCCCUAGCCUG